AUACUCAAUGAAAGGAGAGAAUGUUGGCACUCUGCUUGAUAAGGAUGGAAGGGGCCUUAGUGGCCUUACAACACACAAAUGGUUAAGACAAGGCAAUCUAAUUAGUGGCAUCACCAUGUUUUUAG